rnacentral:lncRNA from 1 species
GCGUAUGGCGGCGGCACGUGGGCUGAGUUUGGGUGGCCCAAUUGGUCCUAAAAUGAUCUCCAGAUUGUCUCGAGUACGACGGUAUACUCGGAUUUGAAUUUGGUUAUUGUUUGACGGUCGAACGAAGUUUUACAUAUUAGACAGUAUCCUUCUUCGAUAUGUUCGGACCGUUGGAUAGACUCUAUUUCCAAAUAUGUUGAUCUAG